GCCACCAUAGCCAAACGGCCAAGGCAUAGGUCUGCAACACCUCGAUUACCGGUUCGAAUCCGGUUGGUGGCUCCAA
rnacentral:tRNA from 1 species